rnacentral:rRNA from 1 species
AUUGAACGCUGGCGGCAGGCCUAACACAUGCAAGUCGAACGAGUGGCGGACGGGUGAGUAAUGUCUGGGAAACUGCCUGUUGGAGGUGGAUCACUACUGGACACGGUAUCUAAUACCCCAUACCAUCAGAUGUGCCCAGAUGGGAUUAGCUUGUUGGUGGGGUAACGGCUCACCAAGGCGACGAUCCCUAGCUGGUCUGAGAGGAUGACCAGCCACACUGGAACUGAGACACGGGCCAGACUCCUACGGGAGGCAGCAGUGGGGAAUAUUGCACAAUGGGCGAAAGCCGGAUGGAGCCAUGCCGCGUGUAUGAAGAAGGCCUUCGGGUUGUAAAGUACUUUCAGCGGGGAGGCGUUACCCGAAGAAGAAGGACCGGCUAACUCCGUGCCAGCAGCCGCGGUAAUUG